rnacentral:lncRNA from 1 species
GGGUGCUAUUCGGAUCUGAUUUUAUCUCAAGAAGGCAUCUUUGAAGCUCAAGAGUCUGUGCUCUGAUAUUGUAUCGAUUAACUGAUCAAUCUUCGAUAGAAGGAGGGAAGCUUUCCUUUGGAUAUGUUUCAUUCUGGUUGAUAUAGUCGAUGUAGAUCCUCUAUUUUUCAUUGGCUUUCCUCACCAUCACAAUAUUGGCUAGCCAAUCUGGAUAAUUGGCUUUCCUGAUGAAGUCCGCCGCUAGAAGCUUGUCUACUUUUUCGUCGAUGACCUUCUACC